UUNGGGGAGGCAGCAGUGGGUAUUAUUCCACAAUGGGAGAAAUCAUCAUGCAGCAACGCCGGGUGAGCGAUAAAGUCCUUGGGGUAAAAAACUUUUGUCCUCAAGGAAGAUAAUGCCGUUCCUUGAGGAGGAAGCCCCGCCAAAUUACUUCCCACCAGCCCGGUUAUUCGUUGGGGGCCAACCUUGUUCGGAAUUUCUUGGCGUAAAGGCUGGCUAGGUGGUUUCUUAAUUCAGAGUUGAAAGCCUACGGUUCACCUGUAGUAAUCCUUUGAAACUGUGAAACUUGAGUGCAGGAGAGGAGAGUGGAAUUCCUAGUGUAGCGGUGAAAUGCGUAGAUAUUAGGAGGAACACCAGUUGCGAAGGCGGCUCUCUGGCCCGUAACUGACACUGAGGCACGAAAGCGUGGGGAGCAAACAGGAUUAGAUACCCUGGUAGUCCUCGCCGUAAACGAUGAGUACUAGCUGUCGGAGGUUCCCCCCUUUCGGUGCCGCAGCUAACGCAUUAAGUUUCCGCCUGGAUUCUCC
rnacentral:rRNA from 1 species